GCCUGCAACUUCUGUUCAGAUGUAGAACAUAAUAAGAAGCUUUAUUGUUGGUAUUAGUCAAAAUAGUUGCGGGUUAUAUAAUAUAGAAGUCUUUACUGCACGUAUAUGACCAUGUUGAACAAUAAAUAUCUCAGAAGGCUUUUCUUGUCAAAAUACAUGAAAAUCUAUACAAAUGUAAUGAUCAAACCAGCAACUUGCCCACUUAUAAAAACACAUAAAAAAAAAUACUUUGUUUGCAUCUUACCUUCAUCAACUCCAAAAGAAUUUU
rnacentral:misc_RNA from 1 species